rnacentral:snRNA from 1 species
CUGCUUGCUCCGGUAGCACGUGUACUAAAACUGGAGCAAUAUAAGGAAAAUCAGUAUAGCCUCUAUAAAAGGAAGACUAGUAAAAAUCAUAAGCUACUCCCUAUUUUU